rnacentral:rRNA from 1 species
UACAGAGGUCUCAAGCGUUGUUUGGAUUCAUUGGGCGUAAAGGGUGCGUAGGUGGCGCCGUAAGUCGGGUGUGAAAUUUCGGAGCUUAACUCCGAAACUGCAUUCGAUACUGCGGUGCUUGAGGACUGGAGAGGAGACUGGAAUUCAUGGUGUAGCAGUGAAAUGCGUAGAGAUCAUGAGGAAGACCAGUGGCGAAGGCGGGUCUCUGGGCAGUAACUGACGCUGAGGAGCGAAAGCGUGGGGAGCGAACAGG